rnacentral:rRNA from 1 species
GAGGGGCAGCACGGUAGCAAUACUGGUGGCGACCGGCGCACGGGUGCGUAACACGUAUGCAACCUGCCUUCAACUGGGAGAUAGCCCGGGGAAACUCGGAUUAAUACCCCAUAACAUGGUGAAACAGCAUUGUUUUAUCAUUAAAGCUCCGGCGGUUGAAGAUGGGCAUGCGUUCGAUUAGCUAGUUGGUGUAAGUAACGGCUCACCAAGGCUACGAUCGAUAGGGGGUCUGAGAGGAUGAUCCCCCGCACUGGUACUGAGAUACGGACCAGACUCCUACGGGAGGCAGCAGUAGGGAAUAUUGGUCAAUGGGCGCAAGCCUGAACCAGCCAUGCCGCGUGCAGGAAGACGGCCCUCUGGGUUGUAAACUGCUUUUGAUAGGGAACAAAUGCCACUUGCGAGUGGAGCUGAGUGUACCUAUAGAAUAAGCACCGGCUAACUCCGUGCCAGCAGCCGCGGUAAUACGGAGGGUGCAAGCGUUGUCCGGAUUUAUUGGGUUUAAAGGGUGCGUAGGCGGCCUAAUAAGUCAGUGGUGAAAGCCUCCAGCUUAACUGGAGAACUGCCAUUGAUACUGUUAGGCUUGAGUAUACUUGAGGUAGGCGGAAUUGACAGUGUAGCGGUGAAAUGCAUAGAUAUUGUCAAGAACACCAAUUGCGAAGGCAGCUUACUAAAUUAUAACUGACGCUGAGGCACGAAAGUGUGGGUAUCAAACAGG